rnacentral:rRNA from 1 species
ACACUCCUGCGGGAGGCAGCAGUGGGGAAUCUUGCGCAAUGGGCGAAAGCCUGACGCAGCCAUGCCGCGUGAAUGAUGAAGGUCUUAGGAUUGUAAAAUUCUUUCACCGGGGACGAUAAUGACGGUACCCGGAGAAGAAGCCCCGGCUAACUUCGUGCCAGCAGCCGCGGUAAUACGAAGGGGGCUAGCGUUGCUCGGAAUUACUGGGCGUAAAGGGAGCGUAGGCGGACAUUUAAGUCAGGGGUGAAAUCCCGGGGCUCAACCUCGGAAUUGCCUUUGAUACUGGGUGUCUUGAGUAUGAGAGAGGUGUGUGGAACUCCGAGUGUAGAGGUGAAAUUCGUAGAUAUUCGGAAGAACACCAGUGGCGAAGGCGACACACUGGCUCAUUACUGACGCUGAGGCUCGAAAGCGUGGGGAGCAAACAGGAUUAGAAACCCUGGUAGUCCCA